AACGAACGCUGGCGGCAUGCCUAACACAUGCAAGUCGAACGAGACCUUCGGGUCUAGUGGCGCACGGGUGCGUAACGCGUGGGAACCUGCCCUUAGGUUCGGAAUAACUCCCCGAAAGGGGUGCUAAUACCGGAUAAUGUCUUCGGACCAAAGAUUUAUCGCCUUUGGAUGGGCCCGCGUUGGAUUAGCUAGUUGGUAGGGUAAAAGCCUACCAAGGCGACGAUCCAUAGCUGGUCUGAGAGGAUGAUCAGCCACACUGGGACUGAGACACGGCCCAGACGCCUACGGGAGGCAGCAGUGGGGAAUAUUGGACAAUGGGCGAAAGCCUGAUCCAGCAAUGCCGCGUGAGUGAUGAAGGCCUUAGGGUUGUAAAGCUCUUUUACCCGGGAUGAUAAUGACAGAACCGGGAGAAGAAGCUCCGGCUAACUCCGG
rnacentral:rRNA from 1 species